rnacentral:rRNA from 1 species
CAGAUUGAACGCUGGCGGCAGGCCUAACACAUGCAAGUCGAGCGGUAGCACAGAGAGCUUGCUCUCGGGUGACGAGCGGCGGACGGGUGAGUAAUGUCUGGGAAACUGCCUGAUGGAGGGGGAUAACUACUGGAAACGGUAACUAAUACCGCAUAAUGUCGCAAGACCAAAGUGGGGGACCUUCGGGCCUCAUGCCAUCAGAUGUGCCCAGAUGGGAUUAGCUAGUAGGUGGGGUAACGGCUCACCUAGGCGACGAUCCCUAGCUGGUCUGAGAGGAUGACCAGCCACACUGGAACUGAGACACGGUCCAGACUCCUACGGGAGGCAGCAGUGGGGAAUAUUGCACAAUGGGCGCAAGCCUGAUGCAGCCAUGCCGCGUGUGUGAAGAAGGCCUUCGGGUUGUAAAGCACUUUCAGCGGGGAGGAAGGCGGUGAGGUUAAUAACCUCAUAGAUUGACGUUACCCGCAGAAGAAGCACCGGCUAACUCCGUGCCAGCAGCCGCGGUAAUACGGAGGGUGCAAGCGUUAAUCGGAAUUACUGGGCGUAAAGCGCACGCAGGCGGUCUGUCAAGUCGGAUGUGAAAUCCCCGGGCUUAACCUGGGAACUGCAUUCGAAACUGGCAGGCUAGAGUCUUGUAGAGGGGGGUAGAAUUCCAGGUGUAGCGGUGAAAUGCGUAGAGAUCUGGAGGAAUACCGGUGGCGAAGGCGGCCCCCUGGACAAAGACUGACGCUCAGGUGCGAAAGCGUGGGGAGCAAACAGGAUUAGAUACCCUGGUAGUCCACGCCGUAAACGAUGUCGAUUUGGAGGUUGUGCCCUUGAGGCGUGGCUUCCGGAGCUAACGCGUUAAAUCGACCGCCUGGGGAGUACGGCCGCAAGGUUAAAACUCAAAUGAAUUGACGGGGGCCCGCACAAGCGGUGGAGCAUGUGGUUUAAUUCGAUGCAACGCGAAGAACCUUACCUGGUCUUGACAUCCACAGAACUUUCCAGAGAUGGAUUGGUGCCUUCGGGAACUGUGAGACAGGUGCUGCAUGGCUGUCGUCAGCUCGUGUUGUGAAAUGUUGGGUUAAGUCCCGCAACGAGCGCAACCCUUAUCCUUUGUUGCCAGCGGUCCGGCCGGGAACUCAAAGGAGACUGCCAGUGAUAAACUGGAGGAAGGUGGGGAUGACGUCAAGUCAUCAUGGCCCUUACGACCAGGGCUACACACGUGCUACAAUGGCAUAUACAAAGAGAAGCGACCUCGCGAGAGCAAGCGGACCUCAUAAAGUAUGUCGUAGUCCGGAUUGGAGUCUGCAACUCGACUCCAUGAAGUCGGAAUCGCUAGUAAUCGUAGAUCAGAAUGCUACGGUGAAUACGUUCCCGGGCCUUGUACACACCGCCCGUCACACCAUGGGAGUGGGUUGCAAAAGAAGUAGGUAGCUUAACCUUCGGGAGGGCGCUUACCACUUUGUGAUUCAUGACUG